rnacentral:lncRNA from 1 species
AUUGCGUCCCUCUUCAUGGCGGUCACCAUCUCCAGGGCCGACGCCAGGUCCACUGUGCGUCCCAAUAAGACAGUUGCCCUCCACCAUGACAUUAAUGCGCAAGGUAUGCAGCUACAUACACUCUGACCUGUCGUCCAAGCAAUCAUCCGCAUGAAAUGCAUCUGCGCCGUGAAUCGUUGUUUGACCAUAUGAUGAGUGUGCACGUUGAAUGAAUGAAAUGUCACAGGUUACAUGGUGGAUGCUACGGCACCGACGGUGCUGGAUCCAGAGUGCGAAGGUGACGGGAAGCAUCACAAGGGGCAUGGUCGUUCGAGGGAGUCAGAAUCGCCAAAGCCAGAGCCGUAGGUGGAGUCGCCAAAGACAGGUCUGCCUUGAAGCCACGUGCGCUUUGAGUGCCUGCAUGCCUGGCUUAAUAAUGUGCCCUUCUCCCCUGGUCCCUGCGUCGCGACAAUGAGUCAUGCUAUAUAUGGCUUUCAAUAAGGAGGCGUGUCCUAUGGUCGUUUCGUUUUCUUGGUUAUGCUCCCCUCCAUGUAUGAGCGAAUAAGUUGCUAAUUAGCUAUGAUCCCUAGAUUGUGUGUCACACUUUUUCCAGUGUAGUGAUGCGUGUAUUUUCAAGGAAAAUUUGAUUUCGUCAGUUUGCUCUCAUGUAGUCAUGUGUUUGAUAUGCAUGUCCCGUGCAUCCGUGUGAUCUUCAUUUUGUCCAUCGUGUUGCUGGUGAGUGAUGCUUUGGACUCUGCUAAUUCAACCUCCACUGGACUAAAACGUAUGUCUCCAAGCGGUCACACAUUUUGAUGGUUGUACAAAUUUAGAUCCCUAAUUAAUAACCACCAAAAAUACGCUUUACGAUGCUAUAGGUAAACACUAGUAGUAGUGAACCAUACAUUAUCCAAAUAUUAUGUAUAUCUAAAUACAUAGCACAAAGUAAUGUGUUAUAAUUUCAAAUGGCAGAGUAUGAUGCUGUCACUCUUAAGAGAUUGCAUGUAUGGAUGUUCAAAUUUAUUAUAGAAACCGGCAUUUAUAGUUCUAUUUUUUGUUGAUAUAGCAAAAAUAAAUACAAGAAGAUAGCCCUAGGAGGCUAGGCUACCUACAUAAAAACGAAAAUAAACAAAAGCAACAAUGCCACACACUAUAGAGCCGGUGGACAAGCAACAGACACAACACACAGAACACGGUCAUCGCAAACUCCACAGCAACUCAACAACAACAUCGGCUACUGCAAUGACCCACGAGCCACCAAUAUUCCAAGAUGAUGAGUCAUCUACUGGUGGACCUUCUAGCCAGCUGACCUAGCUUCCUUGGUGUUAGAAGCCGUCUAUGACAUGGUAAACUGGUGGCUCCGUCAAAGGCUGAAGCUAAGCAUAGGAAUCAGCAGAGGUUACACUCUUGCGCUGCUAGUUGCUGGGCUUCUUUGCACGUAAUGGCGAAGCCUCCUUAGGGCCAUACGGGGUCCUGGCCCCCUUUCAUCGCCAAGAAAAUUUGAGGCAUGGAUGACAAUGCAUGUGCAUGCAAUGAUGAUUAUGUGUUCUUGCUUUUGCCUUGUUUCCUCCAACACAUGAUGCGGCAAGCAUCAAGUCCAAUCCUAUUACUACUAGUCUACUAUCUAGCCCAUGUCUCAUGUCUGGCUUGUGAUGAAGGUUUGUGCAAGACCAAUCUUUGACAGCGCUACAAAUGAUCAGAUCAUGUCGGGCUGCAAUAAUAUUCUUGUGAAGUUGAACAUUUAUCAUCAUCCUCGCUCAAACUUGAGGAUGUCCCUCUGGUCAGCGUGAUAUAUGAUAGGAUCAACCUCCCAGAGCCAGCAUUCAAGAUAAGAUUAAUCCUCAUUAGGAUCUAGUCUUUAGAAAUAGAGAGGUAGAGAGAGGGAAGAGUUGGGAAGAGGUGCCAGCCAAUCGAUGCUCUAAGGCUUGUACCUUAGCGGAAGUCAAUCUACGUCUAAGAUUUAUCUUGUAGUGAACUUCUUAUUUUAGUAAGCAACAUUGUUUAUAUUGUUCUCCUGGUUUGCGAGUCUUCUAUUAGUACUUUAAUCUACCCAUGGCGUUAAUACUAAUCGAAUUAAUUCCUGUAUGUAUAGACACUACGACCCAAGUGAUCAAAGGGAUUGCUAUAUUAAUGAUAGCUUCUAGGAUUUAAUAGCACUAUUUUUUUGUGGUAGGUGAUGUGUGCGUGGACAGCGAGACGUCAAUGGUGACUUUGUCAAUCUCAGGAUUUGUCGAUCUAACUCAGUUCUUCAAAGCUGCUCAUAGGGGUACGGUGUGUGUAUGCAAUCAUAGGGGUGAGCGUGCGCUCGUAUUUUGAGUGUUUGUGUCUCUAACUGCGUAUCGCAAAACAAGAGCCAUUUGAAAAAUGAAUUUGAGUCCCAUACACAAUUUAUAGUACCUAACAAAUUUAUUUAAUACAAAUUUGUCUUUAUGUCCUCGUCCCUAAGACAAUUUAUGGCUACAAUUUUACAUGCUUUAUACUAAAUUUUAGAACGAAAGAAGUAAAGUAUAACUUAUACCUUAUUUGUUAACCUAACUUAUUUCAAAUUAUUUAUAGGUGUGGUUUUUUAGGAAAACACAAUAUUAGACCUCAUCUCAGGCUGUACUUUUCUUGUUGUAGCCUUGCUACACGCUGUUGUGUGUUAAUAUGUGCAGCAGCCAGAGCUGCAACCAACCAGGCCGCACCAAAUAAGAUCCUCCAAAGUAGUUUAUGGAUCUGUCAUAAGCUGGAUACCUUGUUUGAUUAUGGAUUUGUCAUAAGCUGGGAACGUAGCGAGCUAAAUAUGGACUAGUCAUAAGCUGAGUGCCUUGCUUGUUUAUGGAUUUGUUAAGGUUUUAAUAUUGCUAGCAAGCUAUAGAUGAUUCGGGUUAUUUGGCAACCCAUUCAUCAUUGGGCUUAUAACCCAAGUCCAGGGGUAAACAAACAAGGAGCGAGAAGCUGUCUUCCAGAUCUUUUAAUUAAAUAUUUUUGUAUUCCGGGUAACUCCACAUUUUCUCACGAGGCAACACUCACAAACCUCGCUAACUCCUCUUAAUGCAUCCAUAGGUACAUAGGGCAAAUAAGAAGGUAACUAAUUAAGAUCGUUGCUCAGCCAAAACCAUACUCCAAAUGAGCUCCAUUGGAAUCAUAAGCACCCCUCAGAUUCACUUGGUCUCGUGCCAACCAAAUUGCAAUGGAGACGCCGGCUAAAAGAUGUGCUGCGACGACAUGUCCAUAGCAGCGUCAUCGAUUCACUCGUCCGUUGCUCGUCCUUGCAACGACAUGUCAGGUUGUAUGUCUCUGCACUUGUAGCUUCUUCUAUUGACUCGUCGUGUAUUACUACAUACAUCUUAUAAGCUACCCCAUUCGUCGGGCUAUAAGAAGGCGUGAAGCAUGCUCUUUGCCACACCAAGCCAUCCAAACAAUAAAGCAAAUAUAGCUUGAGCUCAAUUUUUCUAAACAAAAUCUAUCUGCUUGCACAGUUCAAGCGGCAGCACUCGCAAUGGCUAACCACCGCGCCGCUGCCGCCCUCCUCCUAAUUGCGUCCCUCUUCAUGGCGGUCACCAUCUCCAGGGCCGACGCCAGGUCCACUGUGCGUCCCAAUAAGACAGUUGCCCUCCACCAUGACAUUAAUGCGCAAGGUAUGCAGCUACAUACACUCUGACCUGUCGUCCAAGCAAUCAUCCGCAUGAAAUGCAUCUGCGCCGUGAAUCGUUGUUUGACCAUAUGAGGAGUGUGCACGUUGAAUGAAUGAAAUGUCACAGGUUACAUGGUGGAUGCUACGGCACCGACGGUGCUGGAUCCAGAGUGCGAAGGUGAGGGGAAGCAUCACAAGGGGCAUGAUCGUUCGAGGGAGUCAGAAUCGCCAAAGCCAGAGCCGUAGGUGGAGUCGCCAAAGACAGGUCUGCCUUGAAGCCACGUGCGCUUUGAGUGCCUGCAUGCCUGGCUUAAUAAUGUGCCCUUCUCCCCUGGUCCCUGCGUCGCGACAAUGAGUCAUGCUAUAUAUGGCUUUCAAUAAGGAGGCGUGUCCUAUGGUCGUUUCGUUUUCUUGGUUAUGCUCCCCUCCAUGUAUGAGCGAAUAAGUUGCUAAUUAGCUAUGAUCCCUAGACUGUGUGUCACACUUUUUCCAGUGUAGUGAUGCGUGUAUUUUCAAGGAAAAUUUGAUUUCGUCAGUUUGCUCUCAUGUAGUCAUGUGUUUGAUAUGCAUGUCAUGUGCAUCCGUGUGAUCUUCAUUUUGUCCAUCGUGUUGCCGGUGAGCGAUGCUUUGGACUCUGCUAAUUCAACCUCCACUGGACUAAAACGUAUGUCUCCAAGCGGUCACACAUUUUGAUGGUUGUACAAAUUUAGAUCCCUAAUUAAUAACCACCAAAAAUACGCUUUACGAUGCUAUAGGUAAACACUAGUAGUAGUGAACCAUACAUUAUCCAAAUAUUAUGUAUAUCUAAAUACAUAGCACAAAGUAAUGUGUUAUAAUUUCAAAUGGCAGAGUAUGAUGCUGUCACUCUUAAGAGAUUGCAUGUAUGGAUGUUCAAAUUUAUUAUAGAAACCGGCAUUUAUAGUUCUAUUUUUUGUUGAUAUAGCAAAAAUAAAUACAAGAAGAUAGCCCUAGGAGGCUAGGCUACCUACAUAAAAACGAAAAUAAACAAAAGCAACAAUGCCACACACUAUAGAGCCGGUGGACAAGCAACAGACAGAACACACAGAACACGGUCAUCGCAAACUCCACAGCAACUCAACAACAACAACAUCGGCUACUGCAAUGACCCACGAGCCACCAAUAUUCCAAGAUGAUGAGUCAUCUACUAGUGGACCUUGUAGCCAGCUGACCUAGCUUCCUUGGUGUUAGAAGCCGUCUAUGACAUGGUAAACUGGUGGCUCCGUCAAAGGCUGAAGCUAAGCAAAGGAAUCAGAAGAGGUUACACUCUUGUGCUGCUAGUUGUUGGCCUUCUUUGCAUGUAAUGGCGAAGCCUCCUUAGGGCCAUACGGGGUCCUGGCCCCCUUUCAUCGCCAAGAAACUUUGAUGCAUGGAUGACAAUGCAUGUGCAUGCAAUGAUGAAUAUGUGUUCUUGCUUUUGCCUUGUUUUCUCCAACACAUGAUGCGGCAAGCAUCAAGUCCAAUCCUAUUACUACUAGUCUACUAUCUAGCCCAUGUCUCAUGCCUCGCUUGUGAUGAAGGUUUGUUGCAAGACCAAUCUUUGACAGCGCUACAAAAGAUCAGAUCAUGUCGGGCUGCAAUAAUAUUCUUGUGAAGUUGAACAUUUAUCAUCAUCCUCGCUCAAACUUGAGCAUGUCCCUCUGGUCAGCGUGAUAUAUGAUAGGAUCAACCUACCAGAGCCAGCAUUCAAGAUAAGAUUAAUCCUCAUUAGAUCUAGUCUUUAGAAAUAAAGAGGUAGAGAGAGGGAAGAGUUGGGAAGAGGUACCAGCCAAUCGAUGCUCUAAGGCUUGUACCUUAGCGGAAGUCAAUCUACGUCUAAGAUUUAUCUUGUAGUGAACUUCUUAUUUUAGUAAGCAACAUUGUUUAUAUUGUUCUCCUGGUUUGCGAGUCUUCUAUUAGUACUUUAAUCUACACAUGGCGUUAAUACUAAUCGAAUUAAUUCCUGUAUGUAUAGACACUACGACCCAAGUGAUCAAAGGGAUUGCUAUAUUAAUGAUAGCUUCUAGGAUUUAAUAGCACUAUUUUUUUGUGGUAGGUGAUGCGUGCAUGGACAGCGAGACGUCAAUGGUGACUUUGUCAAUCUCAGGAUUUGUCGAUCUAACUCAGUUCUUCAAAGCUGCUCAUAGGGGUACGGUGUGUAUGCAAUCAUAGGGGUGAGCGUGCGCUCGUAUUUUGAGUGUUUGUGUCUCUAACUGCGUAUCGCAAAACAAGAGCCAUUUGAAAAAUGAAUUUGAGUCCCAUACACAAUUUAUAGUACCUAACAAAUUUAUUUAAUACAAAUUUGUCUUUAUGUCCUCGUCCCUAAGACAAUUUAUGGCUACAAUUUUACAUGCUUUAUACUAAAUUUUAGAACGAAAGAAGUAAAGCAUAACUUAUACCUUAUUUGUUAACCUAACUUAUUUCAAAUUAUUUAUAGGUGUGGUUUUUUAGGAAAACACAAUAUUAGACCUCAUCUCAGGCUGUACUUUUCUUGUUGUAGCCUUGCUACACGCUGUUGUGUGUUAAUAUGUGCAGCAGCCAGAGCUGCAACCAACCAGGCCGCACCAAAUAAGAUCCUCCAAAGUAGUUUAUGGAUCUGUCAUAAGCUGGAUACCUAGUUUGAUUAUGGAUUUGUCAUAAGCUGGGAACGUAGCGAGCUAAAUAUGGAUUAGUCAUAAGUUGAGUGCCUUGCUUGUUUAUGGAUUUGUUAAGGUUUUAAUAUUGCUAGCAAGCUAUAGAUGAUUCGGGUUAUUUGGCAACCCAUUCAUCAUUGGGCUUAUAACCCAAGUCCAGGGGUAAACAAACAAGGAGCGAGAAGCUGUCUUCCAGAUCUUUUAAUUAAAUAUUUUUGUAUUCCAGGUAACUCCACAUUUUCUCACGAGGCAACACUCACAAACCUCGCUAACUCCUCUUAAUGCAUCCAUAGGUACAUAGGGCAAAUAAGAAGGUAACUAAUUAAGAUCGUUGCUCAGCCAAAACCAUACUCCAAAUGAGCUCCAUUGGAAUCAUAAGCACCCCUCAGAUUCACUUGGUCUCGUGCCAGCCAAAUUGCAAUGGAGACGCCGGCUAAAAGAUGUGCUGCGACGACAUGUCCAUAGCAGCGUCAUCGAUUCACUCGUCCGUUGCUCGUCCUUGCAACGACAUGUCAGGUUGUAUGUCUCUGCACUUGUAGCUUCUUCUAUUGAUUCGUCGUGUAUUACUACAUACAUCUUAUCAGCUACCCCAUUCGUCGGGCUAUAAGAAGGCGUGAAGCAUGCUCUUUGCCACACCAAUCCAUCCAAACAAUAAAGAAAAUAUAGCUUGAGCUCAAUUUUUCUACACAAAAUCUAUCUGCUUGCACAGUUCAAGCGGCAGCACUCGCAAUGGCUAACCACCGCGCCGCUGCCGCCCUCCUCCUAAUUGCGUCCCUCUUCAUGGCGGUCACCAUCUCCAGGGCCGACGCCAGGUCCACCGUGCGUCCCAAUAAGACAGUUGGCCUCCACCAUGACAUUAAUGCGCAAGGUAUGCAGCUACAUACACUCUGACCUGUCGUCCAAGCAAUCAUCCGCAUGAAAUGCAUCUGUGCCGUGAAUCGUUGUUUGACCAUAUGAUGAGUGUGCACGCCGAAUGAAUGAAAUGUCACAGGUUACAUGGUGGAUGCUACGGCACCGACGGUGCUGGAUCCAGAGUGCGAAGGUGAGGGGAAGCAUCACAAGGGGCAUGAUCGUUCGAGGGAGUCAGAAUCGCCAAAGCCAGAGCCGUAGGUGGAGUCGCCAAAGACAGGUCUGCCUUGAAGCCACGUGCGCUUUGAGUGCCUGCAUGCCUGGCUUAAUAAUGUGCCCUUCUCCCCUGGUCCCUACCUCGCGACAAUGAGUCAUGCUAUAUAUGGCUUUCAAUAAGGAGGCGUGUCCUAUGGUCGUUUCGUUUUCUUGGUUAUGCUCCCCUCCAUGUAUGAGCGAAUAAGUUGCUAAUUAGCUAUGAUCCCUAGAUUGUGUGUCACACUUUUUCCAGUGUAGUGAUGCGUGUAUUUUCAAGGAAAAUUUGAUUUCGUCAGUUUGCUCUCAUGUAGUCAUGUGUUUGAUAUGCAUG